rnacentral:rRNA from 1 species
CCCUUAGAUGUUCUGGGCCGCACGCGCGCUACACUGACGAUGGCAACGAGUUUUUCCUUCGCCGAAAGGUGUGGGUAAUCUUUUGAAACAUCGUCGUGCUGGGGAUAGAUCAUUGCAAUUUUUGAUCUUGAACGAGGAAUUCCUAGUAAGCGCGAGUCAUCAGCUCGCGUUGAUUACGUCCCUGCCCUUUGUACACACCGCCCGUCGCUACUACCGAUUGAAUGGUUUAGUGAGGACUCCUGAUUGGCGCCGCCGCCCCGGCAACGGAGCAGCGGACUGCCGAAAAGUUGUUCAAACUUGAUCAUUUAGGGGAAGUAAAAGUCGUAACA